CUGGCGGCAGGCUUAACACAUGCAAGUCGAACGGUAACAUGAGUGCUUGCACUUGAUGACGAGUGGCGGACGGGUGAGUAAGGUAUGGGGAUCUGCCAAAUGGAGGGGGACAACAGUUGGAAACGACUGCUAAUACCGCAUAAAGUUGAGAGACCAAAGUACGGUUCCGCAAGGACGUGCGCCAUUUGAUGAACCCAUAUGGGAUUAGCUAGUUGGUGUGGUAAAGGCUCACCAAGGCGACGAUCUCUAGCUGGUCUGAGAGGAUGACCAGCCACACUGGAACUGAGACACGGUCCAGACUCCUACGGGAGGCAGCAGUGGGGAAUAUUGCACAAUGGGGGGAACCCUGAUGCAGCCAUGCCGCGUGUAUGAAGAAGGCCUUCGGGUUGUAAAGUACUUUCGGUAGUGAGGAAGUUGUGUGUAUGAAAAGUGCAUGCAAUUGACGUUAGCUACAGAAGAAGCACCGGCUAACUCCGUG
rnacentral:rRNA from 1 species